rnacentral:lncRNA from 1 species
AGCAAUCUGGUUAUAAGUAAAGGCAUAGCAAAUUGUUUUUUUUAUUUUAUUACUAGUAACUAAAAUGUUUUGGUGUAGUUUCAUUCCAACAAUUGUUUUUGCAAUUGUUAAGAUUACUGUCACCUUUGUGUUUCAUAUUCAUAUUUUCUGUCACUAGAAAAGUGAAAAUCAAUGGCAGAAGGUUGAAUUGGACGUGGAUGUCUAGUUACAAAAAUGCAGUUCCAAGUAUUUGUAAUUCAAUGUUAUCAAAUGUUUGAAUGAAAUCUCC